rnacentral:tRNA from 1 species
UCUAUGGUAGUCAAAUAAAUGACGCAAGACUUAAGCUCUUGAAGUAUAAAUUAUCUCUAGAA